rnacentral:piRNA from 1 species
UAGCUAGAUGGGAAAGAGAAGGGA